rnacentral:lncRNA from 1 species
AUCUUUAUUCAAUCUCAAUAAAAAAAUACAACCAAACCUUGUAAAUAUUAACUAUAGUAAAUAAACAUAACCCAUUUUGCAAAGUAAAACAAGAUGAAACUGUCUCAAUCCAUAAUCUACACAACAUGAAUCAAAAGACUCGUACAAUUAACCAACAAUACCUAGUAUGAUGUCGGUCCUCCCUUCACUUUAAAAAAAAAAAAAUCAAAACAACCUAAAAAAAAC